GUGCUCGCUUCAGCAGCACGUAUACUAAAAUUGGAACAAUACAGAGAAGAUUAGCAUGGCGCCUUCGCAAGGAUGACACGCAAAUUCGUGAAGCGUUCCGUAUUUUU
rnacentral:snRNA from 1 species